CCAGUUUGUUUACCAAUGAACGAACGCGUGUCUACAGCAGAGUGGGGGGGAAAUAAAGGAAGCGAACGCGUAAAUAGAAGCAAAGUCAAAUUCAAAUUAAAAGUGCUGGCUACCUGAAGCCAUCAGACCUUAACGACAAUGUUUUCUACAACAACUGUUUUUACAGUCCCACUCGGCUGUUGCUUCGGAAGGACUUGCAGCCUGCCCGGCCCCCACCUUCAAAACCAGCCCCCUCCACAUCUUCAAGGAUCAUGUGGCUGACUCAAUAUUUUUAGGCUCUGAAGCCCUACACGUCUUCAUAUGUGCAUUUUGUGGUGGGGGGGAGAGACCAACAUUUGACCCCGUUUCCUUCCCUAUUCACAUACCGCCAAGGAAUUUUCAGUGGAUGAGAUGUUGUGCCCAUAUCUCUGAAGACAAGAUAGAGGGCGUUUUAAAUGUGUGCAGAUGAGGAAGAUAAAAUAAAAU